ACAAGAGCCUGAUCCAAAGCCCACUGAAGUCAAUGGGAAUCAUUUCAUUGACUUCAGUGGGCUUUGGAUCAGGCCCUAACAGU
rnacentral:pre_miRNA from 1 species